rnacentral:lncRNA from 12 species
AUGGGUUCCAGCUGUGGCCGGUGCCUGCGAUGGGCCGCGGCCCAGCUGGAGCCGAGGGGCGCGGCGGGGGAGGGGCAGGGGGUGGGUGCCCGUCCCCGCUGCUGCUGCGCUGCGGUGGCUGCUCGGAGGGCCGCGCACGGAGAAGGCGGAAGUCACGGAGCAGAUCCUGGGGUGACCGCACCCACCCAGCGGGGCGGCCCCCACCUCUGCCACGAGGGAAGCGUGAGUGAGAUCCCGGAGCGGGGUCCCAGCGGGGCAGGGUCCCUGUGCGCACCCCCUGCCGCCCCACGGUGUGCGGGCCGGGAGCCGAGGCCCAGAGGAGGGGCGGCCGGCCUGAGCCACACCGCGGACGGGGAGGCCGGGUGCUGGGUCCAGUCCCUCCCGGGCCUCUCUCCGGAGCCGAGGCUGCGCUUGCGUGUGUAUGAGUGUGCGCGUGCCCACGCUGACCAUGUGAGCGCCACGUGCCCCUUGGAGCCGGGGAGGUGUGGCCCCUCUGGGCACCCUCCCAAGGUGCCCUCGGAGCCUACGCCCAGGAGGGUGCUGGAGGGCGGGCGCCCCACUGACCUGGAUCACGGCGUCCAGCCCGGGUGGGGACUGCGGCGCAGCGGCCUCCCCAUCGCCGGGCUCGCUGGAGGCGGAGCUCAUCUGGGCCGGAUGCUCGGGGGCCGGGGUGGGGGGCCGGGGCUGGGGGGCACAGGGCUCGGGGGGCCGGGGCUGGGCCGCCCGGUGAGUCUCCUCCUGGAGCCCUGGCCGGGCCGGACCUGCUUCAGGGCAGCAGCUGCACACCUGCGGCACCUGGCUCCUCCGUCAGGGCGCCCAGCUGCCCCCUCUGGGUUGGCGACCUGAGUGGCCAGCUAAGGGCGGAGGCGUUGCCUUGGCAACCACGACGCAGGGAUUGAGUUUCCCUGGAAACAGGAGUGCCGCCCUGUUGCCGUGGGGACCGCAGAGUGCUGUUGUCUGGAAGCCGUUUCCUGGAGACCUGGAGGCGCCCUGGUGGCGCUGUGCACCGGAGCCACCGCGCGGGGCAGGGGGCUGGCCUCCCCCAGCCUUGGGCCGCGCCCGCCCGGCCUUCCAGGGGCUUCUCCCUGGACCAACUGUGCUCAGGGGUGGACUCCCGAGGGAGGAUCGUACACUGUGGCGUUUUCCCCAACACCUGGCAAAGAACUUAGGGGUCAUUGGUGGGGUGGUGUCCCCAGAGGGCCGGACGAGGCCCCCGGGUAGGAGAAAGCACCGCCCAGGAACGGAGGGAAGCCCCGUCGUCCUAGCCCUGCUUGUGGACUCGCCCUCCGGGCUUGGCUUCCCUCUGGAGCCCCCACCCCCACCCCGGGACCACCUGCUCUGGGGGGCAUUUGUGUCUAAUUGGGGGGGCGGGACCCAGUCCCGGGGGGCGAGGCAAGGGGAGGGACGGGCACAGACCUGCACCCGGUCCCCGGGGUCUCCCAGGGCCUCCUGAGCCAGCGGCCCCCCGCCCCCUGCCCGGCUGCACCCCUCCCAGCAGAGACCGUCUUGAGCGGGGGCGACCCCCGUGACCCCCAGAGUGCGCGCUCCUCGGAGGCUGCCCGCCCGGGCAGGGCCAGAGGGACCCGUCCUGAGGAACACGGCGCGGUGCUGCCAUCCGCAAGGCCUCUGCCCACUGCCCCCGGGGCGACAGCCACCCGAGUGGCCGUGCGGGGACGGGCGGGCCCUCGGGUGGACGGAGCCCCAUGGGCGUGCGGGGCUGGCCGUAGCCUCCGGCUUCCCCCGGGCUGUGGCUGGGGCACCUCCCGCACCCAAGGCUGUCUAUGGCACCCCCACCGCCGCGAGGUGGGCCGGGGGCUCGGGGGCUCGGGGGCUCGGGGGCUCCGGG